AAACACGGCAACUUCUUUCUUGCUUCAUAGAGGAUGCAUCUUUUUUUUUAACCCCCUGCAACAUGACACACUCAUGAAUCACUUUCCUUCAUCGAAUUUACAGGACAGGAACACACACAUUCUGAAAGAGCGACAACAGCCCCGGAGCUGCAGAGGGGGCAGCCCACGAAGCAUCAGCACCUAAAGCCUCGGCAGUCACUCGAGGCCGCUUGGAAAAGGAGUGAGUCGGUGCCACGAGGAGCGUAGGUGAUCAAAUGUGCAACAAUCUGAUCUAUAAGACGCAGGAGACUAAAGGCCUGAAGGAAAUUCCUUGAAUAGUAGGAGACACUACUUGGAAGAAGUAAGAGGAAAAUCUGAUUCUAGGAACUCAAAGCUGCUGGUGAAGAAGGAUAUAACCAUGAAACAUACAAGUUUAAGGAAAGAGUCUCCUGGUAAAAACACAGCACAGCAGAAACAGUGGGCUCCUGCUGUGCAUGCACCGCCGAGUGCGUGGGAAGAUCAUGACUCACAUCCAGACAGUAAUAACUGAAGUUUGCUGCAUCAUGAUUGACAUCGUCAGUCUUCUAGUCUUCAGAUGAAACAACGCUUCAUUUGAAUCCAUCUGCCAUCUUUCAGCACCCAAAACAUCCAGCAUGUCUACCCGGAACCACUUUAUCUCCAGUCAUCUGAGUUUCUGCGUCAAUCUGCUUGUUCUUUUUAAAUAAAUAAAAAAAAUAUGUUCGAAAA